AUUAAACUCUGGAUCCAGGAUCAAACUCAGAAAAUAUUUAUUAGAACAGAAGAUAUGAACUUUGAUUUAUGAUCAAUUAUAGAUAAUUAUUGAUAAUUAUAUAAUAACAUACACCAAUGAUUUCAGUCUGCAGCCUUCAGUCUGUAGAAAACCACAGAGCUCCUUCAGUCCAGAUCCUUCCAGGUUGGUUCUGUACAGGUCCAGUCCUGUCAGAUGGGUCGGUUUGGACUUCAGAGCUGAGAACAGAGACGUCCAGCUGGUCUCUGACAACCUGCAUUCCCACAAUCUGAAUAAA